GACGAACGCUGGCGGCGUGCUUAACACAUGCAAGUCGAACGAUGAAGAAAAGAAUCGAAGCUUCGGCAGAAAUUCAUUUCGGAUUAGUGGCAGACGGGUGAGUAACGCGUGAGCAACCUACCUCUUACAAAGGGAUAGCCUCGGGAAACCGGGAUUAAUACCAUAUAACAUUGCGACGAAGCAUUUCGAUGCAAUCAAAGCUACGGCGGUAAGAGAUGGGCUCGCGUCCCAUUAACCGGAUGGUGAGGUAACGGCUCACCAUAGUGACGAUGGGUAACCGGCCUGAGAGGGUGAACGGUCACACCGGAACUGAGACACGGUCCAGACUCCUACGGGAGGCAGCAGUGGGGAAUAUUGCACAAGGGAGGGAACUCUGAUGCAGCGACGCCGCGUGAGUGAUGAAGGAAUUCGUUUCGUAAAACUCUGUUCUAUGGGAAGAAAAGGACUGUACCAUAGGAGAAAGCUCCGGCUAAAUACGUG
rnacentral:rRNA from 1 species